rnacentral:rRNA from 1 species
UACGAAGGGGGGCUAGCGUUGUUCGGAAUUACUGGGCGUAAAGCGCGCGCAGGCGGUUCUCCAAGUCAGUGGUGAAAGCCCGGAGCUCAACUCCGGAACUGCCAUUGAAACUGUUAGACUUGAGGAUGAGAGAGGUGAGUGGAAUUCCCAGUGUAGAGGUGAAAUUCGUAGAUAUUGGGAAGAACACCGGUGGCGAAGGCGGCUCACUGGUCCAUUACUGACGCUGAGGUGCGAAAGCGUGGGGAGCAAACAGG